rnacentral:rRNA from 1 species
GAGACAGCAGCCGCCGCGGUAAUACGGAGGGGGCAAGCGUUAUCCGGAAUUAUUGGGCGUAAAGGGUACGUAGGUGGCCUUUUAAGCGUAGGGUAUAAGGCAAUGGCUCAACCAUUGUUCGCCCUAUGAACUGGAAGGCUUGAGUGCAGGAGAGGAAAGCGGAAUUCCUAGUGUAGCGGUGAAAUGCGUAGAGAUUAGGAGGAACACCAGUGGCGAAGGCGGCUUUUUGGCCUGUAACUGACACUGAGGCGCGAAAGCGUGGGGAGCAAACAGGAUUAGAUACCCCUGUAGUCCCUGUCUCUUAUACA